UACGUAGGGCGCAAGCGUUGUCCGGAAUUAUUGGGCGUAAAGAGCUCGUAGGCGGUUUGUCGCGUCUGUCGUGAAAGCCCACGGCUUAACCGUGGGUCUGCGGUGGAUACGGGCAGACUAGAGGCAGGUAGGGGAGAAUGGAAUUCCUGGUGUAGCGGUGGAAUGCGCAGAUAUCAGGAGGAACACCGAUGGCGAAGGCAGAUCUCUGGGCCGUAACUGACGCUGAGGAGCGAAAGCGUGGGGAGCAAACAGG
rnacentral:rRNA from 1 species